rnacentral:rasiRNA from 1 species
GACGUCAUUAUUUUUUCCGAAAACGAA